rnacentral:lncRNA from 1 species
CCCACCAGAUAAUAAUCCCUGUGUUCCUGGGCGAGUCAGUGCCACCCGAGAUGUUGGCGGCCACUUUGGCUGAGCUGGACGGAUGCCUGCAGCUGCUCGAGGACAAGUUCCUGCGGGACCAGGCCUUCCUUACUGGGCCCCGUAUCUCUGUGGCUGGCUUGGUGGCAAUCACGGAGCUGAGAGCCCAUCAGUGCUGGCUGCUGAGUCUUUGAAAGCAGACCCACGGUGGCAGCAUGGUGCCCAACACGUGGAGGCUGCAGUGCGGGAGGACUUCUUCCAGGAGGCCCUCCCAGCUGUCCUGAAGGCCAAGGACCUGCCUCCAGUAGAACCUGCUGUUAAAGAGAAUC